CUGCAGCACAUCACCGACAUCCAAACGUCUGUAUCCACAUUAGAGAGCUACCUGGGUGUGAUUACGGUGCUUACGGCCGCCUGGGCGGGUUUAACAGUCAGAAAUGCGCAGUGCUCUGCUCCGUGUGUCCUCCAUUUUUCAUAGCCAAUGAUAAAGUGGUAAAGGAGGAAAUCAGAGAUUGGAGCUCACACAGAUGCUCCACUCAGAUGGCAACCUGAGCUCUGGACUGAACUAAGUACACAUGUUAGCAGCAGGAAAAUGUGUUGGGGCAGAUGGACACCAGCUGCUUGAAUGAAGGCCCUAUAUAAACAUCUUUUGAAGCACGUACUUUCACAUAUGGCCUCUUAUACACAACAUACUCACUUCAGCAUUGUUGAAAUCUGGUGGGACAGCAGUGUGUGUUUCAACAGGUUUACAAUCUGUAACCAAGUCUCUGUUACCACAAUAAAUAUGCAUUCAAAAAUCACAGUAAAAUGAUCUAAGGCUAAAAUAUUAGACAGAUAUUUGCAAAGCUGUAUUGUGUGUCUAUUGUAAAAGUGGAUUAACACCGGAUUGAGGACUGGUUCAGAGAAAAACCUUAAAUAUGUACAAAACCUGUUAAAGUUUACUAUACAGAACCACUUUAUCAUUGCACUUACUGUUCUCUCUCACAAUUCCAGUAUCAGACAGCGGAUUUGAUUAGUUCUUAAAUAAAGUGGCUUUAUAUCAUAUUGGAAUUGCUUUCCUGUGGUCUUGAUGAGGCUCAACCACUGUAUGACCUCUCCACGCCUCCACAACACUGCUUUAAUGAACUUUAGACUUACCACAGUUAAACAUCUCUAGUACAGAAGCACUGUAGGAAUUGUUUAGCUUGGGUUAAGUUUGCACGUGUCCUCAGGCAUGCAGACUGAUUUAUCCUGCCAGUCAUCUGACUCACGGUUUUGUUUUUAUGAUUAUUGGAAAAAGUAACUAGGUAAUCAAAUCACUGUGUAAUUUAUUUUGUAAUGCCUUUUACAUUCCUGUAAAUUAAAUAUCUAAAAUGAAAUUAAGCAAGUCUUUUAGGGGAUGGCACAGUAACCCAGCGUAUGAUUGUACUCCCUCACAGCUCCUCAAAGCUCCAGGUUCCCCAGUUCAAUCCUGAUCUCAUGUUACUGUAUUUGCAGAGUUUCACAUGCUUUCUGUUUACAUGUGGGUUUCCUCCAGGUUCUCACAUUUCCUGUCACUUCCUAAUAGAAAAUACCUUGCAGU